GCUCCUGUGGCUUAGUGGCUAGAACGUCCGCCUUGGAUGCGGAAGGUUGUGGGUUCGAACCCUGGUCGAGUCA